UCAAUAAGCGGAGGAAAAGAAACUAACAAGGAUUCCCKUAGUAACUGCGAGUGAAGUGGGAAAAGCUCAAAUUUGRAAUCUGGCAGUCUGAUUUUUCAUCUUGGCUGUCCGAAUUGUAAUCUAGAGAAGUGCUACCUGUACUGGACCGUGUAUAAGUCUCCUGGGAUGGAGCAUCAUAGAGGGUGAGAAUCCCGUCUUUGACAUGGACUCCCAGUGCGUUGUGGUAUACUUUCAAAGAGUCGAGUUGUUUGGGAAUGCAGCUCUAAAUGGGUGGUAAACUCCAUCUAAAGCUAAAUAUUGGCGAGAGACCGAUAGCGAACAAGUACCGUGAGGGAAAGAUGAAAAGUACUUUGGAAAGAGAGUUAAACAGUAUGUGAAAUUGUUGAAAGGGAAACACUUGAUGUCAGUUGUGUUAGCUAGGAUUCAACCGGGCUUUUUCUAGCUAGGUGAAUUUCCUUGUCUGACAGGCCAACAUCAGUUUUGAUUGUCAGAAAAAGGCAGAAGGAAUGUGGCACCUUCGGGUGUGUUAUAGACUUUUGUCAGAUGUGGCAGUYGGGACUGAGGCAUGCAGCGUGCCGCAAGGCUGGGU
rnacentral:rRNA from 1 species